rnacentral:rRNA from 1 species
GAGUUUGAUCAUGGCUCAGAUUGAACGCUGGCGGUAUGCUUAACACAUGCAAGUCGAACGGUAACAGGAGAGAGCUUGCUCUUUUGCUGACGAGUGGCGGACGGGUGAGUAAUGCGUAGGAAUCUGCCUAGUAGUGGGGGACAAUGUGUGGAAACGCACGCUAAUACCGCAUACGCCCUACGGGGAAAGCGGGGGAUCUUCGGACCUCGCGCUAUUAGAUGAGCCUACGUUAGAUUAGCUAGUUGGUGGGGUAAAGGCCUACCAAGGCGACGAUCUAUAGCUGGUCUGAGAGGAUGAUCAGCCACACUGGGACUGAGACACGGCCCAGACUCCUACGGGAGGCAGCAGUGGGGAAUAUUGGACAAUGGGCGAAAGCCUGAUCCAGCAAUACCGCGUGUGUGAAGAAGGCC